CCUAACGGGCGGCUGCAGUCGAGAAUCAUUCACAAUGGGGGAAACCCUGAUGGUGCGACGCCGCGUGGGGGAAUGAAGGUCUUCGGAUUGUAAACCCCUGUCAUGUGGGAGCAAAUUAAAAAGAUGGUACCACAAGAGGAAGAGACGGCUACCCUGUUCCAGCAGCCGCGGUAAUACAGAGGUCUCAAGCGUUGUUCGGAAGCACUGGGCGUAAAGCGGUCGGAGGCUGUUUCGUAAGGCGGGUGUGAAAGGCGCGGGCUCAACCCGCGGACGGCACAUGAUAAGGCGAGACUAGAGUAAUGGAGGGGGAACCGGAAUUCUCGGUGUAGCAGUGAAAUGCGUAGAUAUCGAGAGGAACACUCGUGGCGAAGGCGGGUUCCUGGACAUUAACUGACGCUGAGGCACGAAGGCCAGGGGAGCGAAAGGGAUUAGAUACCCGAGUAGUC
rnacentral:rRNA from 1 species